CUUCCUACGGGAGGCAGCAGUGGGGAAUAUUGGGCAAUGGGCGCAAGCCUGACCCAGCAAUGCCGCGUGAAGGAAGAAGGCCCUCGGGUUGUAAACUUCUUUUAUCAGGGACGAAGGAUGUGACGGUACCUGAUGAAUAAGCUCCGGCUAACUCUGUGCCAGCAGCCGCGGUAAUACGGAGGAUGCGAGCGUUAUCCGGAUUUAUUGGGUUUAAAGGGUGCGUAGGCGGAAGGUUAAGUCAGCGGUCAAAUGUCGGUGCUCAACACCGGCCUGCCGUUGAAACUGGUCUUCUUGAGUGAGCGAGA
rnacentral:rRNA from 1 species